UUUGAAAGAAAACAAAAGCAAGAGCAUACAAGGAUUUCAAGAAAUCACAUAUAGCUCAAUUGAAAUAAGCAAGGACCACAGGAGGGAGGUCGCACUCUCUACUCUCCUCCUUCCUCUUACGUGAAUAAGAAGAGGGGUUGUCUCUUCCUUCUUCUGCAAGAAGGGAAGAGAUCUGCAUUCAGAACGAACAGAACAGGGAGGAAAGAAGAAGCAUCAAGAAAACUUCUACGAGGGGAAGGAAGAAGCGAGAUCGGAGAAGGAGAAGGGAACGAAACCCUAUCCUCUCUACGGCCGGCGUUCUUCUUCCAUUGUGAAACAGAGGAGGGCGAAGACGAGGAAAGGGGCUGAGGUUUCUGCUCUCAAGGAGCGAUUGACCAGCUGUUAAGGAAAGAAAGCGGUGCCUUGAUUCUACUUCGCAGAAGGGAACGAAAGAAAGAGGGGGAAACAGAACCUGUUCUGUUCUCCUUCUUUCAGUGAGAUUGAAGAAGGUGGGAGAUCUGCUCUGUUUCUCUUGCACAAACAGAGGAGGGGUCUCCUUCUUACUCUUCUAAUCGGGAAAAAGGAGCAUGAACAGUGGAGAUCUGCUCUCCUUCUUCCAGCGAGAUCCGAGAAGGGAGAAGAGAAGGUCUCUGCACCGCCCCCUUUCCCUUGCUUCUCAUCGGGGAAAAGGGGCUCGGUGGCUGAUUCCUUCUAGCGGAGGCGAGGCUGCGACCAGAGAGAUCGGGGACGCUAUGCUCUUUCAAGAUCGAAAACUUUCUUCCUCUACUCAUCGUAGAAAAGGGGCAAGGGAAAAUAUUGGGGCAGAUCGGAUCUUGAAACUGAAAAAAAGAACGGGAACAUAGAGGGAGAAUUUCUGUUCUUCGCAGAAAGGAACGGAACAAAGGGAAAUUUCUGUUCUUCUUUCCUCUCUGCGGUUGGUAGCAACGGGAAGGUUGAAAUCAAACCUUUCUCUCCUACUCUGCUCGGUGAAACAGAGUUCCUUAUUGGGGGAUGGCAGUUGCAUAAAGGAGAGUUCCUUCUUUAAAAAAAAAAAAAAAAAUGUCGGGACAUGGCAG
rnacentral:lncRNA from 1 species